rnacentral:rRNA from 1 species
GAGUUUGAUUCUGGCUCAGGAUAAACGCUGGCGGCGUGCCUAACACAUGCAAGUCGAACGCCCUUGCGCAAGCAAGGGAGUGGCGGACGGGUGAGUAACACAUGGGUCACCUACCCCCGGGUGAGGAAUACCAGCGAGAAAUCGCUGACAAUACCGCAUCGCCUUCUUUCGGGAAGGAAAGUCGUAAGACGCCUGGGGAUGGGCCUGUGGCCGAUUAGCUGGUUGGUGGGGUAACGGCCUACCAAGGCGACGAUCGGUAGCUGGUCUGAGAGGAUGGUCAGCCACACUGGGAUUGAGAACGGCCCAGACUCCUACGGGGGGCAGCAGUGAGGAAUUUUCGGCAAUGGGGGCAACCCUGACCGAGCAACGCCGCGUGCAGGACGACGGUUUUCGGAUCGUAAACUGCUUUUCUCUGGGACGAGUAAGGACGGUACCAGAGGAAUCAGCCCCGGCUAACUACGUGCCAGCAGCCGCGGUAAUACGUAGGGGGCGAGCGUUGUCCGGAGUUACUGGGCGUAAAGCGCACGCAGGCGGUGCUGUAAGUUUGGGGUUACAGCUCCCGGCUCAACCGGGAGAGCGCCUUGAAGACUGCAGGACUUGAGGGCCAGAGAGGGACACAGAAUUCCGGGUGUAAUGGUGAAAUGCGUAGAUAUCCGGAGGAAUACCAAAGGCGAAGGCAGUGUCCUGGCUGGUACCUGACGCUCAGGUGCGAAAGCUAGGGGAGCGAACGGGAUUAGAUACCCCGGUAGUCCUAGCCGUAAACGAUGACCACUAGGCGUGCGGGGUAUCGACCCCCUGCGUGCCGCAGCCAACGCAAUAAGUGGUCCGCCUGGGGAGUACGGUCGCAAGAUUAAAACUCAAAGGAAUUGACGGGGACCCGCACAAGCAGCGGAGCGUGUGGUUUAAUUCGAAGCAACGCGAAGAACCUUACCAGGGUUUGACAUGCCUUUGCACCGCCGAGAGAUCGGCGUCCCUUCGGGGCGGAGGCACAGGUGCUGCAUGGCUGUCGUCAGCUCGUGCCGUGAGGUGUUGGGUUAAGUCCCGCAACGAGCGCAACCCCUGUCGUC